rnacentral:rRNA from 1 species
UACGGAGGGCGCAAGCGUUAUCCGGAUUCACUGGGUUUAAAGGGUGCGUAGGCGGUCAGGUAAGUCAGUGGUGAAAUCUCCAAGCUUAACUUGGAAACUGCCGUUGAUACUAUCUGUCUUGAAUAUUGUGGAGGUGAGCGGAAUAUGUCAUGUAGCGGUGAAAUGCUUAGAUAUGACAUAGAACACCAAUUGCGAAGGCAGCUCACUACACAAUCAUUGACUCUGAGGCACGAAAGCGUGGGGAUCAAACAGG